AAAGGAGUCGAGGUUGAGGACAAUAUUGGCCAAGAUAAUGUUGUUGAUUAUGGAAUGUGUCUUGUGCAUUACUUUAUCACAGACUGUGUCAUUAAUUUUAAUGCUAUGAAGCACACCAUGGCCGCAUUGUGGCACCUUGGUAAAGGAAUUUGCAUCAAGGAGUUGGGGUCAUCUCUAUUUAUGUUUCAGUUUUUUCAUGAGGUUGAUGUUAGUCGAGUCG
rnacentral:misc_RNA from 1 species